AACUGUUGAAUGCAGAUGUUAUUUUUUUGUCUGUUUGAGUUUGUUGUAUUUGAAGGGAUCCUAUUGUGUCCCUUUUUAGAAGAUAAAAAAGGUAAAAGAUAAAAGCUAGGUGUUUUCAAACUUUUUUUCUCAGCCAAACCACUUUGGCCUUAAUUAACCCUCUGAGAAUUAUUAUUAUUAUUGAUAUUUUGUGCAGAUACAACAUCUUAUAUAUACAAAAAAUAGUAAUUUACCAUUCUGCUUCACAUUACACCCCCAAUCCCCCUAACAUCCCAAAUACACAACACAAACAAACAUACUGUACGUGCAGUUAUUAAGUGAUACAUUAAAUGUACAAAGAACAAAACAAAACAAAAAAAGUAAAUAAAUAAAUAAAUAAAAAGUUAAUCCUCUUCUGCAUCUUCAAGUGACAGAUCAAUAGUUGAAUCAAUAGUUGAUCAAUAGUCAAAGAUGUCCAUGUUUCAUGAAAAGUUUUUAAAGUCCCUUUUAAUGAAAAACAUUUUUUUUCCAGUUUUAAAGACAAAAAAAAAUAUUUUAUCCAUCUAUCAUAUGAGGGAUGGCGUGCGUGUUUCUACUUAAGGAGAAUAAGCCUCCUAGCUAAUAGUGUGGUGAAAGCAACAACAUCUUGUGUUGCUGAAGGCAAAUUUGUCUUAAAACAAAUUCCAAACAGAGCUGUAAAAGGGUUUGGAGUGGCUGAUAUGUUAAAGGUUUUGUUCAAAGGUAUCAAAUAUUUUAGACCAAAACUCUGUUAAUCUUGGACAAGACCAAAACAUGUGAGUGUGAUUUGCUGGAGACUGUCGGCACCUAUUGCAAGUGUUACUUCUGUCUGGAUAUAUUUUGGUUAAUCUGGCAUUACUGUAGUGUGCUAUGUGAAGAAUCUUGCAAUGCAUCAAACUGUGUCGGGCACAUAAAGGAAGAGUGUACUAAAUCGAGCAUAUAGUCCCACUCUAUUUCGCUUAUAGUAAUCCCCAGCUCUUGUUCCCAGGUCUUGUUGAGUGGUUCAGAGGGGUCAGAAUUUAGAGAAUCUAUUGAUUAAAUGAUGGAGAUUAGCCCUCUUUUGUCUGGGCUAAGAGAGAGAAUUGUGUCCAUUUUUGAAUCAGACAGAAAAUUAGGGAAACUGAGGAAACUGAUUUUGAACAAAAUGUCCAAUCUGAAAGAAGUGAAAAAAGAUGGGUUUUAGGAAGAUUAAACUUUUCGGACAAUUCUGAAAAUGAUAAGAAUAUAUCUUUAUCAUACAAGUCCUUGAUGGUACUAAUACCCCUAGAAGACCAGUUGCAAAAAACGGAAUCAGAACAUGAUGGUAGAAAAGAUAAAUUGUUUACUAUAGGUGGAAGAAUUGACAGAUUGAUUAACCCAAAAUGCUUAAUAAAUGCUAAAAUGCUAAAUAAAAUUUACCAAUAUUUUAAGAGUAUUGGUCACCACUAAACUGUCUGAGACAUUUUUACUUCUUAUAGGAAGCUGAGAGCAAAUCACUGAAUGCAGGGAAUAUUUUGAGGAUGACAAUUCUAUUUGGGUCCAGAUAGGAUAUUCAGGAACUCCUGAAGUGUUAGUCCAAUAUAACAGCUUGCUAAUAUUACAGGCCCAGUAAUACUGUUGAAAAUUUGGUAAGGCAAGGCCCCCUUUUUAUUUUGGUAGUUCAAGAACCUUUCUUCUUAUUUGUGCAUUUUUGCCACUCCACAAAAAAGAGGUAGUUGUCUGAUUCAGAGUAACAAAAAAGACUGAUUAAUAUAAAUGGGUAUAUGCUGGAAGAAAUAUAAAAAUGUAGGCAAAAUUGUCAUUUUAACCCAAUACAGCCAAUUAGCGAUAUUGGAAGAGAGGCCCAUCUCUGUAUAUCUUCCUUUUAAGCAACUAACAGAGGAUUAAAAUUUUUCCUGAAAAUACCUGUGACUGAUUUGGUGAUAAAUACACCUAAAUAUCUGAAUCCUUUGUGAGCCCACUUAAAUGGAAAAGGAUAUUUAGACAGCGUUUCAGCUGCUGCAUUGAUUGGGAACACUUCGCUCUUUUGAAGACUUAAUUUGUAACCAGAAAAUUUGACAAACAAAUAAAAAAUGUGGAGGAUAGGCGGUACUGAUGACGCUGGGUUAGUUAUAUAUAAAAGAAGGUCAUCUGCAUAGAGGGACAAUUUAUAAGAGGUUCCAAACCAAGUAAUGCCUUCAAACUUUUCCUCACUUCACAGCCAAAUGGCCAAUGGCUCUAUAGCCAAUGCAAAUAAUAGAGGCGAAAGAGGGCAACCUUGGCAUGUACCUCAGCCCAGGGGAAAGGUUUUAGAAUGUGUUGCAUUGGUGUGCACAGAUGCAACAGGGGAGGAGUAUAAUAAUCAAAUCCAUGUUAUAAAAUUUGAGCUGAAAGCAAAUUUACCUAAAUUGAAAAACAAAUACCCCCAUUCAACAGGGUUGAAUGCCUUAUCAUCAUCGAGGGACAGUAUAACCUCAGCAUUGUCAGAAAUUGGGAGAAAGGAUAGUAUUAAAAAGUCUUUGUGUAUUAUAAAAAGGAUGUCCAGUCGGCCUGUAACUACUACAGAGCAGUGGAUCUUUGUCUUUCUUUAGUAACAAUGAAAUGGAUGCCUCAGACAUGGUUGUUGGGAGCCAACCUGAAAGAAAGGCCUCAUUAUAUACUCUUUGAAUUGGGGCUAGAACAGAAGAGAAAGUCUUAAAAAAUUCUUAAACUUUUAAAAGUCUUAAAAGUCUUAAAAUACUAAAGCCAUCAGGGCCAGGAGAUUUACCAUUUUGAAGUGAAUGAAUUGCCUCUUGUACUUUCGUGGUAGACACAGGCGUGCCCAAAUCAUUUGUGGAGCCAUCAUUUACGCAAGAGAAUAUUAGUUGAUCAAAGGGGUUUGGGUCAUUCCAUAUUUUUGAGUCGCAUUCUGAGGAAUAAAGAUCUAUGUAAUAUUUUGAAAAAAUUUAAUUAAUUUCCUCCGGAUCAGAAACUAUAUCACCCUUAGCAGAUUUAAUUUGGGGAUCAGUUUAGAUGUGCGAACAUGAACAUGAACUUGCGUACCUCUACAGAUACCUUACUUUCUUUUUCACUCCUAUUUAACCUGCAAACCUUAUAUUUUUCCCAAUAAAAUAUUUUAACCCCCAAAUAAUAUACAUAAAUGUAUUUUUAACAGCCCAUCGAAAGAAGCUUGUUCUUCAGUCACAAAUCAGGUGUUAUGCAACAGCUAGGUCUACAAUUUCGAAGGCUAUUCAAAGACAUUAGAGACUCUUAAAACCAAACGGAUGCAAAAAAACAUCAGCUAAACAAGACAGCAGGUAAGGGCAUCAUGGAACAGAUAACCAUAAUCUGUAUUAAAUCAAUACAGAUCCCACCUUGCAUAGUUCCACUACAAUAGGUGUCUAUUCAGCAUAUGUUUGCGCCACUUCCGGCAUUAUGAUUCCAAUGACAUGAAUGUCAGGCACAUCAGAUUAUUGAGAACCUCCGCGCUGAGAAUCCAGAUACGAUUGCCCUCUUCCGCCGACAGAAACCACUUGUUGCUCCCUUCUUUGGUCGUUAUACGAAGCCUUGCUGGAUACAAAGGAGCCGGUUUAAAUCCCUGUUUGUACAUUUCGACCAUGACUUCAUGAUACUGAGCCCGCUGUUCCAUGACUUCAGGGCUGUAAUCUUCGUAGAUGGCGAUUGGUUUCCCUUGAUACUGUGGUUCGCCUCGCUUUUUACGUGCCUCGCAAAUGACUUUAUCUUCUAACUGGUAGCAAUAAAAGUGGACCACAACUGCUCUUGGUCUCUCCCCUGGUUUAGGUUCAGCGGUGAGAGAUCUGUGCACCCAGUCUAGCUCUGAGGGGAAGAUAGAAUCUGAUCGCCAAAAACCUCAAAAAACCUUCUAUCGACUCAGGCUCCGAUUAUCCUUAUGUUGUUCCGUCUACUCCGCGCUUCCAGACCGGUGGUGUUGGUUUUGAGCUUUGCGUUGCUCUCCGUUAGUGUUGCAAGGGAAGUUUCUAGACGUUCCACGUGCUCAUCCAGCAACUCCACAUGUGACUCUAGUGUGGUAAGUCUGUCCAUGAUCAGUAACCGUGGCUUGCACACAGUCAAGUUUCACUUCUAGUGUUGAGAUCACAGCCUUGAACUUGGCCGCUAAGGCCUCUCUAUGCUCUUCCAGCAAGUCUGCUAGAGCUGCCAUGCUCACUUCACCUGAUGACACCUCAUGGUAGCUUCUUUCUUAGAGGUUUUCGCCAUUUUACUUGCCAUUUUAGACAGACACUUAAUCAGAAGUCGUUGUAACGAAGUUCGUAGAAUGAGGAGGAGGCGGGAACCGGCAAACAUUCAAACACUUUAAUCAUAAAUUAAACAAACACAAAAGUAAAGCGGCAGCCCCUCACGGACGACUGCCACACACAAAACGCAAAAUAACGUCCAGGCCUGGUCCUCUCUCGUCUUCCACUGUCGUCGCUCCUCUUUUUAUCCUUCCAGAGCUCCUCCGUGGGACUCGAGACCAAUGAGUGGCUCAGGUGUCGCUCAUUAUCAUUAUACUCCACCGGCCUCGUUCCGUUCCCACGGCUUUCGGCCCCGCCCCACUCAUCACAGUCGUCUAGUUAUUUUUUAUAGUUUGUCAGAAAAAUGGGUGGGGUAGUUUUAAAAAAUAUGAAUGGGGAAGUCCACCCCCUGAGAUUUUAACUAAAUAUUUCAAUAAUUUAACUGCACAUUUGCAUGUUUACUUCAAGAACGUUUCUUUUAUUAACCCAAUUUUAAGUUUUUAUCAGGAUGAGUUUACAUAGCUAUUGAUAAAAUGGCUAAACAUUUCAAAUCACGAUUUUAGCGACCAAAAUGAUCAGAGUUAUCAGUAUUAUCACAGUAUUGUUAAAAUGUGCUGGAAAUGUUCAAAACCACUCAGAAACACUGAAAUCAUUUCACAUCCAACCGAUUUUAAACCAAUAAAAAUAUUGGUUGGGUGACUUGCACUUUAUCAUGUUAUCUACUAUAACGUACGUCAUGUUCAAGUAAAAUUUUAUAAAAUUAUAAACAUCACAUUUCAGCCUUUAAAUAUAUAUUUUUUAAUGAUACAUCAUAGGCAUUUUAUCUGCUCUAUAAACAGUUUUACAUAGGCUACCUUGUUAGCGAAGUGUUGAGAUUUUUUUUUUUUUUAAAUGCACAAUGUACCAAUGUUCCAUGUACCGGUUAAGGUUUACAACAAAAAUUUGGUCCAACUGAGGGAACGAGGUGUUACAACAAAUAGCUGACGCUGUGGGAAAACACCUCUGAUAGCUAUAAACAGAUGAUAGCCCCUAAACACAUUGCUUCAUAGUAGGACAUUACUGUCAUAUGAAAGAACCAUCACCACCAAACAGAAUAAUCAUACAUAUUUUACAGUAGUAACCUGCUGGCAUAUGGCACAUAGCCAUAAGUGUAAGUACUGUAUACAACGCCACAACAGCUUAGGUCAGACUACACUGGAUGUGUUGCAUGGCUUGUAAUGAUUGGAAAAUCCGUUUGUCCUUCAUGUCAGACAGCGCGAGCGCUUGGAGUACAUCUGUACAUCACAAAUAUACCAGGGCAUCACUUACUUUCCACAUCCACUGUAAAUAGUAUAUAUAAUGGGUUCUAUAUUGUCCCUUGUCGAGUCGCGCAGUGCCGCGCCAUGCCACUCGUGUCUGAGGAAGACACGGAAGCAGCGGGGAAGCACCGCAUCUUUUGCCCGGGGAUAAACUUGCGAGAGUGGAAGAGUUCCGGAAAACAUCUACGCUGUGUAUUGAUGCACCUUAUGAGAGAAUAAGACCAGCAAAGAAGAGAAGACAUUUCUGUCACUAACAAAGUGGAUGGUGAGCAAGAGUGGUGGCCACGUUUUGGAGCAGCACCUGGGUUUUGCAGAUGGCUGUGUAUUCUUUGGCUGCUUGUCUUUACCCCCAUUAUGUUUCUGUUGCCUAAAGAUUCUUUGUGAGGAUAAAUCCAGAGGAUACAACAUAAUACACUGCAAAACGUCCUAAGACAGGAGAAAAGGUGAAGAUGCACUGUUCCAGCAUUGGAAGACUGUAUUUUUAAGUGUUAUACAUGCAAUGUUUUAAAUAAAGAAUUUGAUGUUUUGUAA